GGCCAAAUAAGGGAAUAAAACUGGCCACCCCAGCCGGCAGUGGCAACCCACUUGGGUGCCGUGAAAGCUUUGUUCUUUCGGUCUUCACAGUAGAUCUUGCUGCUGCUCACUCUUUGGGUCUGUGCCAUCUUUAAGAGUUGUAACACUCACCUCAAAGGUCUGCAGCUCCAUCCUUGAAGUCAACGAGACCACGGACCCCCCAGAAGGAACCAACUCCAGACACAAAAGGAAAGGAAUAGCAGUUAUGUCUCAGGGUUUUUUGAGGAUCAAACUGGAAAAUGCUCUCAACUAUAGUUAUUAGUAUACAGUAUAAUGAAGAAUCUUGAGGUCAUCCUGGAUUACCAAAGUGGGCCCUAAAUCCAGUGGCAGAAGACACAGACACAGAGAGGAGACCAGGUGAAGACAAAAGAAGAGGCUGGAGUGAUUCAACCAUCAGAGAGUGAAAAUACUCAGUUACCUCUUGGUUUAUGAGGCAAUGAAGUAUUCCAGCACAUAAAUAUUGACGGUGAGACCCAUGGGAUGCAGGGGUGCUGAGCACAUUUGCAAGACAUAAAGACCGAAGUGUGUGUGGUAUCUAGACGAGAUGCAUGGUGAUGACUGGAGACUGGGAAUGAUGAAUGACUUAGGAAACCUCUGGAGGGUGCCUGCUUUGUGGCCAUAAACCACUGUGCCCAUGUGGAAAACAUUGCAGUCCUGGGGCAGAAGAUAAACUUCAUGCUUGAUAAAAAAAAACAACCAGAAG